rnacentral:rRNA from 1 species
GCUAGCGGCAGGCCUAAUACAUGCAAGUCGAGGGGCAGCACGAGUACUUGUACUUGGUGGCGACCGGCGCACGGGUGCGUAACGCGUAUGCAACCUACCUUAUACAGAGGGAUAGCCCAGAGAAAUUUGGAUUAAUACCUCAUAGUAUCAUUUAAAGGCAUCUGAAAAUGAUUAAAGAUUUAUCGGUAUAAGAUGGGCAUGCGUAAGAUUAGUUAGUUGGUGAGGUAACGGCUCACCAAGACUUCGAUCUUUAGGGGUUCUGAGAGGAUGAUCCCCCACACUGGUACUGAGAUACGGACCAGACUUCUACGGGAGGCAGCAGUAGGGAAUAUUGGUCAAUGGGCGAGAGCCUGAACCAGCCAUGCCGCGUGCAGGAAGACGGCCUUCUGGGUUGUAAACUGCUUUUAUAUGGGAAGAAAACGGCCUUGCGAGGCAAAUUGACGGUACCAUAUGAAUAAGCACCGGCUAACUCCGUGCCAGCAGCCGCGGUAAUACGGAGGGUGCAAGCGUUGUCCGGAUUUAUUGGGUUUAAAGGGUACGUAGGCGGCCAAUUAAGUCAGUGGUGAAAGCCAGCAGCUCAACUGUUGAACUGCCAUUGAUACUGAUUGGCUCGAGUUCUGUUAAGGUAGGCGGAAUUGAUGGUGUAGCGGUGAAAUGCAUAGAUACCAUCAGGAACACCGAUUGCGAAGGCAGCUUACUAGGCAGAAACUGACGCUAAUGUACGAAAGCGUGGGGAUCGAACAGGAUUAGAUACCCUGGUAGUCCACGCCGUAAACGAUGCUCACUCGCUGUUGGCGAUACACAGUCAGCGGCCAAGCGAAAGCGUUAAGUGAGCCACCUGGGGAGUACGCUCGCAAGAGAGUGAAAC